rnacentral:rRNA from 1 species
AUUGAACGCUGGCGGCAGGCUUAACACAUGCAAGUCGAGCGGGGUGAAGUGCUUCGGUACUGAUCCUAGCGGCGGACGGGUGAGUAAUGCUCAGGAAUCUGCCAUUUAGUGGGGGACAACAUUCCGAAAGGAAUGCUAAUACCGCAUACGUCCUACGGGAGAAAGCAGGGGAUCUUCGGACCUUGCGCGAAAUGAUGAGCCUAAGUCGGAUUAGCUAGUUGGUGGGGUAAAGGCCUACCAAGGCGACGAUCUGUAGCGGGUCUGAGAGGAUGAUCCGCCACACUGGGACUGAGACACGGCCCAGACACCUACGGGAGGCAGCAGUGGGGAAUAUUGGACAAUGGGCGGAAGCCUGAUCCAGCCAUGCCGCGUGUGUGAAGAAGGCCUUUUGGUUGUAAAGCACUUUAAGCGAGGAGGAGGCUACCUGGAUUAAUACUCUAGGAUAGUGGACGUUACUCGCAGAAUAAGCACCGGCUAACUCUGUGCCAGCAGCCGCAGUAAAAC